UUAGAUGCAUCUUCUGCAUGUGUUUGAGGUUCACUGAGGUACUUCAAUCCAUGGGUUUAUAGUUUUCAUCACUUUGGAAAAUUUUUGGCCAUUAUUUCUUCAAAAGUUUUCUGCUCACAACUCUAAAAUUUCAGUUUCCAAUUUUUCCUUGUGAUAGAUAUUUGUAUGUUUUUCUUAGAUCCUGUAAUAUAUAUAUUUUUUUAUCUAACUUUUUAAAUGAGACAGAGUUUCCCAGAAAAGGCAAAGACGUCCAUUCACCACUUUCAUUCAACAUUGUACUGGAAGUACUACCCAAUGCAAAAGGGCAAAAAAAAAAAAAAAAAAAAAAAAGCAUCUAUAGAUUGGAAAGGAAAAAAGCAAAACUGUUUUUACUUGUAGAUGACAUCUUUUAUGCACAAAAUCCAAAGGAUUCUACCAAAAAACGACUGUAACAAGCAAAUUUUAAAAGGUUGAAGGAUACCAAGCCAAUAUAUGUUAAAAAAAUCUAUUUUUCAAAUGAGCAAUC
rnacentral:lncRNA from 1 species